UGGGGAAUAUUGCACAAUGGGGGGAACCCGUGAUGCAGCGACGCCGCGUGGGUGAAGGAGUACUUCGGUACGUAAAGCCCUAUCAGCAGGAAAGAAAAUGACGGUACCUGACUAAGAAGCCCCGGCUAACUACGUGCC
rnacentral:rRNA from 1 species